rnacentral:rRNA from 1 species
CGUGUAGGCGGUUACGCAAGUCUGGUGUGAAAUACCUCGGCUCAACCGAGGGGAUGCGCUGGAAACUGUGUGACUAGAGUGAUGGAGGGGGAACUGGAAUUCCUGGUGUAGGGGUGAAAUCUGUAGAUGUCAGGAAGAACACCGGUGGCGAAGGCGAGUUCCUGGCCAUAUACUGACGCUGAGGCGCGAAAGCGUGGGGAGCGAACAGGAUUAGAUACCCUGGUAGUCA